rnacentral:rRNA from 1 species
UACGUAGGGUGCGAGCGUUGUCCGGAUUUAUUGGGCGUAAAGAGCUCGUAGGCGGUUUGUCGCGUCGGCCGUGAAAUCUCCACGCUUAACGUGGAGCGUGCGGUCGAUACGGGCAGACUUGAGUUCGGUAGGGGAGACUGGAAUUCCUGGUGUAGCGGUGAAAUGCGCAGAUAUCAGGAGGAACACCGGUGGCGAAGGCGGGUCUCUGGGCCGAUACUGACGCUGAGGCGCGAAAGCGUGGGGAGCAAACGGG